UACGUAGGCAGCAAGCGUUGUUCGGAGUUACUGGGCGUAAAGAGUGCGUAGGCGGUCCUGUAAGUUUGGUGUGAAAUCUCCCGGCUCAACUGGGAGGGUGCGCCGAAGACUGCAGGGCUUGAGUAUGGGAGAGGUAAGCGGAAUUCCUGGUGUAGCGGUGAAAUGCGUAGAUAUCAGGAGGAACACCGGUGGCGAAGGCGGCUUUCUGGACAAAUACCGACGCUGAGGCACGAAAGCUAGGGGAGCAAACAGG
rnacentral:rRNA from 1 species